rnacentral:rRNA from 1 species
GACGAACGCUGGCGGCGUGCUUAACACAUGCAAGUCGAACGCUGAAGCCCUUUCGGGGGUGGAUGAGUGGCGAACGGGUGAGUAACACGUGGGUAAUCUGCCCUGUACUUCGGGAUAAGCCUUGGAAACGGGGUCUAAUACCGGAUAGGACCUGUCCUCGCAUGGGGGUGGGUGGAAAGUUCCGGCGGUAUGGGAUGAGCCCGCGGCCUAUCAGCUUGUUGGUGGGGUAGUGGCCUACCAAGGCGACGACGGGUAGCCGGCCUGAGAGGGUGACCGGUCACACUGGGACUGAGACACGGCCCAGACUCCUACGGGAGGCAGCAGUGGGGAAUCUUGCGCAAUGGGCGAAAGCCUGACGCAGCAACGCCGCGUGGGGGAUGACGGCCUUCGGGUUGUAAACCUCUUUCGACAUCGACGAAGGGGCCCUGUUGUGGGGUUUUGACGGUAGGUGUAGAAGAAGCACCGGCUAACUACGUGCCAGCAGCCGCCGUAA